AUUGAACGCUGGCGGCAUGCCUUACACAUGCAAGUCGAACGGCAGCACGGGUGCUUGCACCUGGUGGCGAGUGGCGAACGGGUGAGUAAUACAUCGGAACAUGUCCUGUAGUGGGGGAUAGCCCGGCGAAAGCCGGAUUAAUACCGCAUACGAUCUACGGAUGAAAGCGGGGGACCUUCGGGCCUCGCGCUAUAGGGUUGGCCGAUGGCUGACUAGCUAGUUGGUGGGGUAAAGGCCUACCAAGGCGACGAUCAGUAGCUGGUCUGAGAGGACGACCAGCCACACUGGGACUGAGACACGGCCCAGACUCCUACGGGAGGCAGCAGUGGGGAAUUUUGGACAAUGGGCGAAAGCCUGAUCCAGCAAUGCCGCGUGUGUGAAGAAGGCCUUCGGGUUGUAAAGCACUUUUGUCCGAAAAGAAAUCCUUGGCCCUAAUACGGUCGGGGGAUGACGGUACCGGAAGAAUAAGCACCGGCUAACUACGUG
rnacentral:rRNA from 1 species